rnacentral:rRNA from 1 species
AUUGAACGCUGGCGGCAGGCUUAACACAUGCAAGUCGAGCGAGCGGCGGACGGGUGAGUAAUGUCUGGGAAACUGCCUGAUGGAGGGGGAUAACUACGGGAAACGGUAGCUAAUACCGCAUAACAUCAGAUGUGCCCAGAUGGGAUUAGCUAGUAGGUGGGGUAAUGGCUCACCUAGGCGACGAUCCCUAGCUGGUCUGAGAGGAUGACCAGCCACACUGGAACGGAGACACGGUCCAGACUCCUACGAGAGGCAGCAGUGGGGAAUAUUGCACAAUGGGCGCAAGCCUGAUGCAGCGAUGACGCGUGUGUGAAGAAGGCCUUCGGGUUGUAAAGCACUGUCAGCGAAGAAGCGUGACUCGCACAGGAAGCACCGGCUAACUCCGGGCCAGCAGCCGCGGUAAUAC